GAUCCACACAAGAGAGAAACCAAAGAAAUAAUUGCACAAUUGUUACAUGAGGCAAGAUCUAGUCGGCUAAUUGCACCCGAAGAGUCCCCACAAGACAAGGGAAAGCCAGAGCGGAAAGAACUUUUUCCGAUUGAGCUGGCAAAGAGAAACU